GAAAUGCGAUAAGUAGUGUGAAUUGCAGAAUUCAGUGAAUCAUCGAAUCUUUGAACGCACCUUGCGCUUCCUGGUAUUCCGGGGAGCAUGCCCGUUUCAGAAUCAUUAAAAUCUCACAAACCUUUAUGCUUUCGAGCACUAAGGUAUUGUGGAUUUGGGUGUUUUGCCUCUGGCAAUCAUCAAAAAAGGAUUGUAUGUGCAUCAAUAGGAAAAAAUUGGUUAUCAAAAGUGCAACAGAGGAAACUCCAAUCACUUUUGCCACUCAAUUUUGGUACUAACGGAACAUGUGCUCCCAACUAUUUAACAGCGGUCAUAUCAUUUUGGUGUGAUGCUUGAUAACUUGGUCUGAAAUCGGGCAAGAAAACCCGCUGAACUUAA
rnacentral:misc_RNA from 1 species